UCUGGAGAUUCUUUCUUUGUGGACUUUUCCUCUGUGAGCCUAGAUUUUUGGAGACAGGGGGAACUGUCAGAGAUACUGAGAGACUGUUUCUGAAGACACUGGCUGCAUGCUGAUUCAUUAAUGGAAGUGUGGUCAAAUAUCUAUCCCCUAUUCCAUUUGGCUCCAGCACCUUGAAUCCAUGUUCUUGUUCUUCUUUUCACUGAUCUAGUGCAACCUUGCAACCUCCCAUGUUGAGCCUCAUUCUCCUUGGGAAAUGGCUCAGGUCCACAGUUGCUCUUCAGAAUGUCUGUUUCUGUGUCUGUGUUGCACCAGAACAAGGCCAGCAAGUAUCACCCUGAAUAAAUUAUGGUCAUCCAAACAAGUAGAGCAUCUACCCCCAAAGAGUCUGUGUUACUUGUUUGUGAUAUGUGUCCAUGAUUUGUCCCAAGAGAAUAACUAGGGUAGGCAGAGUAAGGAUAUUGUUCUACACCUUUUAGCUGUGAGGAUAAAGUGUACCCCAUACUGCUAUUGCUCCGUUCUUCAGGCUCAGAAAGCUGACAAUUCCCAGUCUGCUGCUCUUAUCGGCUACAAGAUCUGCCAGCCAAAAGAUGACACACAUCUUGUCAUGACAAAUUACUUAAUUACUAGUUUGGCAACAUGUAAUACUUUGUAUUUGCUAUUAUCAUCAAAGCAGAAGAAAACGAGAAAUACAUCCAUUACCCUGAGAAAAAAUUCUACUGUUGCCAUAAAUUUCUGAUAAAGAAAUGAAGUAGGUUCAAGUUUAAUCACACCAGCAGUAAAUCAAAUAUCAAAUUUAAAACAACGAAUUACAAAGAGCCUCCUCACAGUCACUUAGCAUUGAUAAAUUAGUAAUGUAAUAUUAAAUUAUUCAUAUCUUUUUUUUUCCUUAGGACUAUAAUGAUAUACUGUACACAGCACUGAUAAUUUACUUAGGCUGAGUCCAUUCAUUUAAUUAUGCUGCUAAACUUGGUAGGCCAAUUGGUCAUCAUGAGAGUUUCCAGGCAAGCUAAUCACAAAUAUAUAGAACAUGUCCCUUAUUGUCCCCAGCGGCUAAGUGCUAAAAUGCUAUUUAGUGCUCAGAAGGUUAAUGUCCUGCUUAUGUAAAUUGUCCAAUUUAACAUUCAGCAGCAGUAUCAUAAAUUCUGGCUCCAGGAUUUCAUUAAACGUAUGUUCAAACUAGUUGACCUUAAAGGUUAACAAGCACAAGUUAAACAGGACAAUUAUUUAACUCACUUCUUAUCAAGAGACUGAAGCGUUCUAGCCAUUUAAUAGUUAUGCAUACUUCACAAUUAGAAUUCUUAAAAGGUCUCUGAUAAAGCGGCAGGUCAUGAAUUUUCAUAAGGAUGUCAGAUAAUAACUAUUUAUCUGCACUUGUUUUUCUUUCUUAUAAACUUAAACUUUGAUCUUAACAUUCAAUUACAAAUGAUUCCACCGAGAAAGACUAGGUGACUCAAGGAGCUUGUCUUCACAUUAAUUUGGAUCUAAAUUAAGCUUUAAAAACAUUGCAUCCAUAUUGUCUCCUACAGAAAUUAAUUUAGAAGUUAGCAACCUACUCUUUAUGCAAAAAAACACUUUGGCCUUUCAGCACUGGUCAAUCGAAAAGCACCGAAUGCCAAAUGAUUACAUCAGGCUAACCAUAGCAUUCUUUAUGUAAAUCAUAGGAAAAAUGUCUCCUUAUACAUUAUAAAAUAAUUUAUACAAUCACCUUGCCUCUUGAUAUGUUAACCGAAGAUGAAGACAGAUUAUCCAAGACUAUUUUUCUUUCUCAGAAGGAUUUUCCAGAGGCUUUUGUGAAGUCUGAACAACAGCAGCUCCGAGGGGUGGCCACUACUGCUGCUGCUGCCUAUGGCAGAAGUGAUGCAUUGAGAGCAUUUCCUGUGCUGACAUUUUGCAUCCCAAACUCAUGUUUCCAAAUGCAAGAGGAUUGAGUCACAGCUUCAGGAAUACAUUAGAACACUAAACAUAUAUGAAAAGUCUCAGAGCUGACAGUAACCAUAUUCCAAGGAAGUUGUAAAAAUAUUUUUUUUGAAGCUCAGCUGUAUGAGGUGAUUAUAUUAAUCAGAUAAAAAAAGCAGCAAGUCAUUUAAUAUACAUAAAUGAUGCAAUUCCCAUAGAAUUUUUAAAAAAGGGGGGAAAAGAAACAGGAGAAAAAUC
ensembl:lncRNA